CAGUCGCCGCGGGAAUACGAAGGGUGCAAGCGUUACUCGGAAUUACUGGGCGUAAAGCGUGCGUAGGUGGUGGUUUAAGUCCGUUGUGAAAGCCCUGGGCUCAACCUGGGAAUUGCAGUGGAUACUGGAUCACUAGAGUGUGGUAGAGGAUAGUGGAAUUUCCGGUGUAGCAGUGAAAUGCGUAGAGAUCGGAAGGAACAUCUGUGGCGAAGGCGACUAUCUGGGCCAACACUGACACUGAGGCACGAAAGCGUGGGGAGCAAACAGGAUUAGAUACCCCCGUAGUCCCUGUCUCUUAUAA
rnacentral:rRNA from 1 species